GCGAACGGGUGAGUAACGCGUGAGGAACUUGCCUCAAAGAGGGGGACAACAGUUGGAAACGACUGCUAAUACCGCAUAAGCCCACGGCUCGGCAUCGAGCAGAGGGAAAAGGAGCAAUUCGCUUUGAGAUGGCCUCGCGUCCGAUUAGCUAGUUGGUGAGGUAAUGGCCCACCAAGGCGACGAUCGGUAGCCGGACUGAGAGGUUGAACGGCCACAUUGGGACUGAGACACGGCCCAGACUCCUACGGGAGGCAGCAGUGGGGAAUAUUGCACAAUGGGGGAAACCCUGAUGCAGCGACGCCGCGUGGAGGAAGAAGGUCUUCGGAUUGUAAACUCCUGUUGUUGAGGAAGAUAAUGACGGUACUCAACAAGGAAGUGACGGCUAACUACGUGCCAGCAGCCGCGGUAAAACGUAGGUCACAAGCGUUGUCCGGAAUUACUGGGUGUAAAGGGAGCGCAGGCGGGAGAACAAGUUGGAAGUGAAAUCCAUGGGCUCAACCCAUGAACUGCUUUCAAAACUGUUUUUCUUGAGUAGUGCAGAGGUAGGCGGAAUUCCCGGUGUAGCGGUGGAAUGCGUAGAUAUCGGGAGGAACACCAGUGGCGAAGGC
rnacentral:rRNA from 1 species